rnacentral:rRNA from 1 species
UUAGGAAUCUUCCACAAUGGGCGAAAGCCUGAUGGAGCGACGCCGCGUGAGGGAUGAAGGCCUUAGGGUUGUAAACCUCUAAAAGAGGGACGAUAAUGACGGUACCUCUUGAAUAGCACCGGCUAACUCCGUGCCAGCAGCCGCGGUAAUACGGAGGGUGCAAGCGUUAUACGGAAUCACUGGGCGUAAAGGGCGCGUAGGCGGUCUGUUAAGUCCGAUGUUAAAUCCCGGGGCUCAACCCCGGAUAAGCGUUGGAUACUGGCAGGCUAGACGGUUGGAGAGGCGAGUGGAAUUACCAGUGUAGCGGUGGAAUGCGUAGAUACUGGUAGGAACACCCAUUGCGAAGGCAGCUCGCUGGACAACACGUGACGCUGAGGCGCGAAAGUGUGGGGAGCAAACC